CAUAACUGAUCCAUAAUGGAAUGAUUUUGUCUGAUAUAGGACUAGUCUGUGUGUGUGUGUCCUUUGUCCCCACACUAUGUGCAGCGAAUUGGCCAAAGUAAUAUAUGGAUUCAUAAUGAAAGACAAGAUGAAGAAUUAAAAGCACAUUCCUUAUCUGUUGCAUAUGACAAAUAUGUUAAAUAGCAAAAGGUGCCAUUAUGAGUGGUGAUGGCGAGACCCCAAAUACUACAGUUUAAUCUUUCUGAUAGGGACCAGCCCUAAAUAGAUUUGUUCAUCUAUUUCCAAUUACCCUGGAUGCAGCAGUUUUAAGAAAGUGGGGGCCAGGAGCCGAGUGAAGAGCUACGCUUCUUGUUUUCAAACGCCUCCAGUGUCUCCUCUUAAAGGUGUGGGUAGGCCUCAUCUGAUUCACGACUGCGCUACAGCGUGUGGAAAACGCUGGUAUGCUGACAACCCACAGUGGUUAGAGAAAGUGUUCAGAACAUCAAGGAUGGUGAGGCAGGGCUGUAUGGGCAGAGAACAAUUACUGGAUUUGCCAAGAAAUCUGAAUUGCCUGCUGCCUUUGGGAAGUAUGAAG